rnacentral:rRNA from 1 species
CUACGGGAGGCAGCAGUGGGGAAUCUUGGACAAUGGGGGCAACCCUGAUCCGGCGACGCCGCGUGGGUGACGAAGGCCUUCGGGUUGUAAAGCCCUUUUGUCGGGGACGAUGAUGACGGUACCCGGCGAACAAGCACCGGCUAACUCCGUGCCAGCAGCCGCGGUAAGACGGAGGGUGCUAGCGUUGUUCGGAAUUACUGGGCGUAAAGGGCGCGUAGGCGGCCUCCUCAGUCGGGUGUGAAAGCCCGGGGCUCAACCCCGGAACGGCACCCGAGACGGGAAGGCUGGAGACCGGGAGAGGAGGGUGGAAUAGCCAGUGUAGAGGUGAAAUUCGUAGAUAUUGGCUGGAACACCGGUGGCGAAAGCGGCUCUCUGGCCCGGUUCUGACGCUGAGGCACGAAAGCGUGGGGAGCAAACAGGAUUAGAAACCCUUGUAGUCC